CUUAAUCACUCACGUAGGACACCGGUAUUGAGAUCUAAUCGCGAUGGAGUACGUCGAUGGCCUGGCUGCAACGUGGAAUAACUGUAGCAUGCAGUCACACCAGUAAUGUCGUAGCAGACUAGGGCCGGAUGUGUCCCGCGGGACUCUGGUUGGAGCAAACUGCCUUAGCUAAUGCGGGAUAAGACCAGUUGGCC